rnacentral:rRNA from 1 species
AACGCUAGCGGCGUGCCUAACACAUGCAAGUCGCACGAGAAAUCCCGGGCAACUGGGAGAGUAAAGUGGCGCACGGGUGAGUAGCGCGUGGGUAAUCUACCCUGGAGUUGGGAAUAACACCUCGAAAGGGGUGCUAAUACCGAAUAAUGUCCUCGGGAUUCUGGUCUUGGGGAUCAAAGAUGGCUGAGGCUUGCAAGCUAUCGCUUUAGGAUGAGCCCGCGUACCAUUAGCUAGUUGGUGGGGUAAUGGCCCACCAAGGCCAUGAUGGUUAGCUGGUCUGAGAGGAUGGCCAGCCACACUGGAACUGAGACACGGUCCAGACUCCUACGGGAGGCAGCAGUGAGGAAUCUUGCGCAAUGGGGGAAACCCUGACGCAGCAACGCCGCGUGAGUGAUGAAGGCCUUCGGGUCGUAAAGCUCUGUCAGAUGGGAAGAAAGUUUCGGCGGUGAAUAACCGCUGGAAUUGACGGUACCGUCAGAGGAAGCACCGGCUAACUCCGUGCCAGCAGCCGCGGUAAUACGGAGGGUGCAAGCGUUGUUCGGAAUCAUUGGGC